ACACUGGUGUUCAAUGGUAGCAUUCUCACCUUCCAUGUGGGAGACCCAGGUUCGAUUCCUGGCCAGUGUA
rnacentral:tRNA from 1 species